GCCUUGGCGGCAGGGGGAGGAAAAAGAGAAGCAGAGGGAGGAGUUGCCGCUGCCGCCGCCGCCGCCGCCGCCGCCGCCACUGCCACUGUGAGUUCUCCGACUGUGUGAGCUUGGAGCCUGCAUGCGUGGAUUUAUUGCUGCCACGGUCUGCGUAGCUCCAGAGGUUUAACCAUAGGACAGAAAAAUCAGCCAUGGAAAACUGAAGCUUAAAGAGACCACGUGACAGUCACAGAGCUUUAAAUUCAGGAAGUCUCAGAGGAAUGUAAAGAAGAAAUCAAAAUGGACCCAAGUGUGGGUGUGAAUUCUGUUACCAUCUCUGUUGAGGGUAUGACUUGCAACUCCUGUGUUUGGACCAUUGAGCAGCAAAUUGGUAAAGUGAAUGGUGUACAUCACAUUAAAGUAAGUUACUUUUUUGGAAAUUGAGGUCAAAUGCCACAGACUAGAAUUCUGCUAGGAAAUUACUUCAAAACUGAUAUAGAAGGAAACACAUUGACACAUCUGGCAAUAAAGACUAUCAUACUUCUAACCCUGAA